rnacentral:rRNA from 1 species
UGGGGAAUUUUGCACAAUGGAGGAAACUCUGAUGCAGCGACGCCGCGUGAGUGAUGAAGAUCUUCGGAUUGUAAAACUCUGUCCUUAGUGAAGAUAAUGACAGUAACUAAGAAGCAAGCCCUGGCUAAAUACGUGCCAUCAGCCGCGGUAAUACGUAUGGGGCAAGCGUUGUCCGGAAUUAUUGGGCGUAAAGGGUACGUAGGCGGUUUAAUAAGUCCUAAUUAAAAGGCUAUGGCUCAACCAUAGUAUGGUUAGGAAACUGUUGAACUUGAGUAGAUGAGGGGAAAGUGGAAUUCCAUGUGUAGCGGUGAAAUGCGUAGAUAUAUGGAGGAACACCAAUGGCGAAGGCAACUUUCUGGAAUCAAACUGACGCUGAGGUACGAAGGCGUGGGGAGCAAACAGG